UGACAUUUAGUUCCCAUUCUGUCCAGAAGACUGUGCGUCACUAGUGUACGGGAGUUUCGAAGUUUGAAGUGUUAUAGAAAAAUGUAAGAAAAAGGCAGUCCAACUCAAGUCCAAAGACCACUGAGUACCACUGAGUCCAUGAGUCCAAGGCAGUCCAGUUUAGCCCACUAGCCCGUCAGGCAGUCCGUUUGGGGUUUGGGGCCGCUUACGAGUUCGGACAUGUUUGCCCGUUGCUUAUAUUUUUGUAUCUGUCGAUUGCAUCACAAUCGGCCGCCGGGAACGUCAUUGUCUCUGUCCUUUGAAUUUCUAAACUGAUUUUGAAGGAUGGCUAUAUCGUUCCCGGUUUGUUGGCGUGGGAACGAGUGCCAAUAAACGUUAAGAAGAAGAAGAAGAACAAGAAGAAGUAGAAGUAGAAAAAAGGCCGGUGGCCGGCGUAGCGCUUCUCAGGAGUCUCAGAUUCCUCUCUGGCAAUAGAAAUCAUUAGGAAUAGAAGUCCGUGAUUGGAUUCGUUGAUUCAGAAAUCCAAAGACUAUUUAAAAAGAAGAAGAAACAACUAUAUUGUUUAUCGCAGACAUGUCAGUGUGAAGACAGGUGUAACAGAGGAAAUUAUACAUAAAAGGAUGAAUAUCGCGAUCGACAAAGAAGAGAUCGCACCGAAGCACUUCGCUGUGUGCGACUUUUACGGCGUGGAGACAUGCUUUUAUUGGGACGCUGAUAAGCUUGUGAUAUUUCCCUAUACGAAAGACAGCAAUUCGACGCCACUGCGGAUUCUGUCGACGCCGGCACCUGUCAGGAAGGUGCAAUUCUUCGAUAGCCGAGCCUUCCUGAUAUGCGCGCCGCAGGGCAUCUACAAACUGUCGCGAACCGGCGAGUUUGCCCUGUUGAGCAAAAACGCCUUGGAUAUGGGGGUGAAUUCUUUCAGGAUUCUAGUUCCGGUGCUCGAUAUUACAAAUAGCCCCAACAUCAACGGUGCGCAUUGUUGCGUGCUCAUCGCCAAGAAUAAUGGAGUUUACUUUGAUGACAAGCAGGUCAAGUCAUCCACACUGCUCUUUCCUCUUGCACCGAAUGCGAGCGAAGCAGUGUGCACCUUUUCUCUGAGUUUGACGAACACGGAGUCGCAACUUCUCAGCCGGUUUGCCGCUGGCUGGGAGAUCAAGGGAAGUCUUUGUGUUGUUGCGCAUCAUAGAAAACUGUACACGUUGAGGUAUAUCGAUGAUGCCUGCGUACAAUUGAUUCAUACCAACGAUAGCACUAUCGUGGACAUUCUUCCUGUGAAGAGGCGAGACAAAGUGGCAGGUUUACUGCUUCUCACGGAACACGCAAACGUGGUAAUUUUUGUACAUGAUGGAGGUGAUAGAUCCGAACCGAGAUAUGGACUAGUUUUUGAGAAGAUAUACCUUAAAGAAAACAUAAGAGACAGAACGCUUUGCGCCAGUUUCAGUUUAUGUACGGAGAAAGUUUUGUGGCUGGUAUACUGCGAUCAAUUCAGGAUACAUUAUGUAAAAAAGGAGCUAUUUGUUGAUGCAAUUCAAGAAGUGAAAGUGGAGGAAAGAAUAUUUACGUGUUUGCAGUAUUAUAAACCGAAUGUGAUUCUAAGUUUAUCACAAGAGAAAGAAUUGAUCGAGAUUUCUCUCGAAGAUUUGGACAACUCUUUGUUAACCGACAACAAUAUCGUUCUUCAUCAUGGGAUGUUUCAAAAAACGGAUAUUAUUAUGGAGAAAAUUUGUGCCAAAGUACAAGAAUUGAAUGCGCUGUACGAAACUUUAUCGGAUGAGCAAGACAAAUUAAAGAGGAUAAAUCUGUACGCUAGCAAACAAAAACUGCAGAUAAAUCCUCAUAUUGAAGUGUCUAAGUUGUUUAAGUAUCGCUAUCUCGAUUUAAAUAUAUCAAACAAGCUGCCUAAAAACAGUUAUAUAGUGUUCUCUUUUGCUUCUAAAAAUCAACGCACAUUCUGUUUGAAGAGAGUCACGGAGGGUCAUGCAUUCACAAUGAAAAUGCCUAUCAAUGAGAAUCAGAUACUGUGAUCUUCGUCAAUCAGCAUAGAUUUGAUCACGUUAAUGAAUAAACAACGUCCAUGGUGCCUUAUACAAAACUUUGUAAACUCAUCGCCGCGUGAUGUUAAGAGGAAACGAGGACCAAGGAAAGACAAAAUUGCCUUUAUAGACGCUAAAAUAAUGUCGUUACAACGUUUGAUAAAGGAAAAGGAAUUAAGCAUGACAAAAUUGUGCGAAAUCAAAAGAAUCAUACGUGCAGAAUUAUAAUUUCGUAGAUGUAGUAAUAGUAGUAAUAGUAGUAGUAGUAGUAGUAGUAGUAGUAGUAGAAGAAGAAAGUUCUUAGCUUUAAGUUUUGCAUCCGGAGCGUCAUUUCAAAUUGAAUUGAAAUAUUUUUCUAUUCUUUUGUAAUUUAGAAAUAUUAGAUGUUUUUUUUAACUGAAUUCUCUUUUUCUCUCCAUCACGAAAAAAGUGAAAAGAUAAUCCGUGCAAGAAGUUCAGCUAAAAAGAACAGGCUUAUUGAUGUUAAUGAUCAAUGUGACAUGGUAGGGCAAAUGACAUAAUCGUAUAAGUCAGAGAUUGUUUUGUUAAUGAUAGCUAUAACCAAAGAUAUUCCAUUCAUUCAACAUCUCAUUAAAAAAUAUUGAAGCUGUCGAAUUAAACGAGUUGCAGAAAUUAUUAAAUAAAUACAGCACAAACUAAAAAAA